ANCCCAGGAGCUUGCUCCUGGGUGAGAGUGGCGAACGGGUGAGUAAUGCGUGACCGACCUGCCCCAUACACCGGAAUAGCUCCUGGAAACGGGUGGUAAUGCCGGAUGCUCCGACAUGACGCAUGUCNUGUCGGGAAAGAUUCAUCGGUAUGGGAUGGGGUCGCGUCCUAUCAGCUUGAUGGCGGGGUAACGGCCCACCAUGGCUUCGACGGGUAGCCGGCCUGAGAGGGCGACCGGCCACAUUGGGACUGAGAUACGGCCCAGACUCCUACGGGAGGCAGCAGUGGGGAAUAUUGCACAAUGGGCGCAAGCCUGAUGCAGCGACGCCGCGUGCGGGAUGACGGCCUUCGGGUUGUAAACCGCUUUUGACUGGGAGCAAGCCCUUCGGGGUGAGUGUACCUUUCGAAUAAGCACCGGCUAACUACGUGCCAGCAGCCGCGGUAAUACGUAGGGUGCAAGCGUUAUCCGGAAUUAUUGGGCGUAAAGGGCUCGUAGGCGGUUCGUCGCGUCCGGUGUGAAAGUCCAUCGCUUAACGGUGGAUCCGCGCCGGGUACGGGCGGGCUUGAGUGCGGUAGGGGAGACUGGAAUUCCCGGUGUAACGGUGGAAUGUGUAGAUAUCGGGAAGAACACCAAUGGCGAAGGCAGGUCUCUGGGCCGUCACUGACGCUGANGAGCGAAAGCGUGGGGAGCGAACAGGAUUAGAUACCCUGGUAGUCCACGCCGUAAACGGUGGAUGCUGGAUGUGGGGACCAUUCCACGGUCUCCGUGUCGGANCCAACGCGUUAANCAUCCCGCCUGGGGAGUACGGNCGCAAGGCUAAAACUCNAAGAAAUUGACGGGGGCCCGCACAAGCGGCGGA
rnacentral:rRNA from 1 species